rnacentral:tRNA from 1 species
AUUUAAAUAGUUUAAAAAAAAUGUUGAUUUGUGGGAUCAAUGAUGUUUAAUAACUUUAAAUU